GAUGAACGCUAGCUACAGGCUUAACACAUGCAAGUCGAGGGGCAGCGUGGAGCAGCAAUGCUCUGACGGCGACCGGCGGAAGGGUGCGUAACACGUGAGCGACUUGCCCGUCACAGGGGGAUAACCGGCGGAAACGGCGACUAAUACCCCAUACGAUGCGAUGCUGCAUGGCAUUGCAUUGAAAGAUUCAUCGGUGGCGGAUAGGCUCGCGGGACAUUAGCUAGACGGCGGGGCAACGGCCCACCGUGGCGACGAUGUCUAGGGGUUCUGAGAGGAAGGUCCCCCACAUUGGAACUGAGACACGGUCCAAACUCCUACGGGAGGCAGCAGUGAGGAAUAUUGGUCAAAUGGGCGAGAGCCUGAACCAGCCAAGUAGCGUGAAGGAUGAAGGUUCUAUGGAUCGUAAACCUCUUUUAUAAGGGAAUAAAGUGCGGACGUGUCCCGUUUUGUAUGUACCUUAUGAAUAAGGAUCGGCUAACUCCGUGCCAGCAG
rnacentral:rRNA from 1 species